rnacentral:rRNA from 1 species
UGGGGAAUAUUGCACAAUGGGCGAAAGCCUGAUGCAGCAACGCCGCGUGAGUGAUGAAGGUCUUCGGAUUGUAAAGCUCUGUCUUUUGGGACGAUAAUGACGGUACCAAAGGAGGAAGCCACGGCUAACUACGUGCCAGCAGCCGCGGUAAUACGUAGGUGGCGAGCGUUGUCCGGAUUUACUGGGCGUAAAGGGCGCGUAGGCGGAUGUUUAAGUGAGAUGUGAAAUACCCGGGCUUAACUUGGGUGCUGCAUUUCAAACUGGAUAUCUAGAGUGCAGGAGAGGAGAAUGGAAUUCCUAGUGUAGCGGUGAAAUGCGUAGAGAUUAGGAAGAACACCAGUGGCGAAGGCGAUUCUCUGGACUGUAACUGACGCUGAGGCACGAAAGCGUGGGUAGCAAACAGGAUUAGAUACCCUGGUAGUCCACGCCGUAAACGAUGAGUACUAGGUGUAGGAGGUAUCGACCCCUUCUGUGCCGCAGUAAACACAUUAAGUAC